AAACCAACAGGGAUUGCCUCAGUAACGGCGAGUGAAGCGGCAAAAGCUCAAAUUUGAAAUCUGGUAGUUUUUAACUGCUCGAGUUGUAAUUUGAAGAGCUUAACCUUGGGCACAGGCUCUGUCUAUGUUUCUUGGAACAGGACGUCACAGAGGGUGAGAAUCCCGUGAGGUGGGGCUAUUGUGUUCUUGUAGGUUUUGUUCGACGAGUCGAGUUGUUUGGGAAUGCAGCUCUAAGUGGGUGGUAAAUUCCAUCUAAAGCUAAAUAUUGGCGAGAGACCGAUAGCGAACAAGUACAGUGAUGGAAAGAUGAAAAGAACUUUGAAAAGAGAGUGAAAAAGUACGUGAAAUUGUUGAAAGGGAAGGGCAUUAGAUGAGACUUGGUAAUUCAGGCACAUCCUCCUCUUGUAGGGGGUGCACUCCUGAUAUUACUGGGCCAGCAUCGAUUCGCGCGGUGGGAUAAUGCUUCUUGAAUGUGGCUACAUUUUUUGUGUAGUGUUAUAGCUUGGAGAGAUACUGCCAGUGUGGAUCGAGGCUUGCGUCUUUUUAGACUAGGAUGCUGGCGUAAUGAUCUAAUGUCGC
rnacentral:rRNA from 1 species